rnacentral:piRNA from 1 species
UCCUGUGAAUAUGUCUGUGUAGAUGG